GCCUAAAUACAUGCAAAGUCGAGCGAGCUUGCCUAAUAGAAAAUUACUUCGGAAAUGGACAUAGAUACAAAGCUAGCGGCGGGAUGGGGUGAGUAAACGACGUGGGUAAACCUGCCCUUAAAGUCUGGGAUACCAUUUUGGAAACAGAUGCUAAUACCGGAUAAAAGCUACUUUCGCAUGAAAGAAGUUUAAAAAGGACGGCGUAAAGCUGUCGCUAAAAGGGGAUGGACCUGCGAUGCAUUAGCUAGUUGGUAAGGUAACGGCUUACCAAGGCGAUGAUGCAUAGCCCGAGUUGAGAGACUGAUCGGCCACAUUGGGACUGAGACACGGCCCAAACUCCUACGGGAGGCAGCAGUAGGGAAUCUUCCACAAUGGACGAAAGUCUGAUGGAGCAACGCCGCGUGAGUGAAGAAGGUUUUCGGAUCGUAAAGCUCUGUUGUUGGUGAAGAAGGAUAGAGGUAGUAACUGGCCUUUAUUUGACGGUAAUCAAUCAGAAAGUCACGGCUAACUACGUGCCAGCAGCCGCGGUAAU
rnacentral:rRNA from 1 species